AUGAGAAAUCAUGUUCACGACCUCCUUAGCCUCUUACAGAAUAGAUUUAUUGCGUCAAGCAUGUGGUAGAGUAUCUUUAGGCUUCUUGAUCAGAUUUUGCGCCUGGAAGAAAGGAAUGGAAUGAAGAUUGCUCUAUAGGCUUGCUGGGUCGAACUUCCUUCUGCUGGAUGAGAUACCCUGUGCUUGAAUUCUGAUUUCACAAAAUUGAUUACGGCAGCUUUUGUUUCAGCAGUGGAGUAGUAGAGGCCAAUGACACAGGAUAUGAGAGUAUCAAUUCCGAUGAUAAACUAGAUGUCAGUAAACGGUGGAAGCUUUGAACACAGCAAUGAAUGGUGCUAGCUUUGUCGUUGCUUUGAUUGGCUGCUGGGAAUUAGCUUACUGGGCUAAAUCGCUGCAUUGUGGUCGUCACGAUAUCCAAGUGAGCAUCCAUACAAGAGUGUUCUCGUGAAAUAUGCUUACAUUUGAUUAUUCAAAGUUGUAUUCUUGAAUGCAAUUGAAACAUUGGUC